rnacentral:rRNA from 1 species
CGCGGGAUUAGAGUUUGAUCCUGGCUCAGAACGAACGUUAGCGGCGCGCCUAACACAUGCAAGUCGCGCGAGAAAGGGCUUCGGCCCCAGUAAAGCGGCGCACGGGUGAGUAACACGUAGGUCAUCUUCCCCUGAGUGGUGGAUAACUCUCCGAAAGGAGAGCUAAUACAGCAUAAGACCACGACCUCGCCGAGGUUGUGGCCAAAGCAGACCUCUUCAUGAAAGUUUGCGCUUAGGGAUGAGCCUGCGGCCCAUCAGCUAGUUGGUAGGGUAACGGCCUACCAAGGCUAAGACGGGUAGCUGGUCUGAGAGGAUGAACAGCCACACUGGAACUGAGACACGGUCCAGACUCCUACGGGAGGCAGCAGUGGGGAAUCUUGAGCAAUGGGCGAAAGCCUGACGCAGCGACGCCGCGUGAGCGAUGAAGGCCUUCGGGUUGUAAAGCUCUGUGGGGAGGGAAGAAUAAGGCUUGGCUAAUAUCCAAGUUGAUGACGGUACCUCCUUAGCAAGCACCGGCUAACUCUGUGCCAGCAGCCGCGGUAAGACAGAGGGUGCAAACGUUGUUCGGAAUUACUGGGCGUAAAGCGCGUGUAGGCGGCUAAGUAAGUCGGGCGUGAAAUCCCACGGCUCAACCGUGGAAGUGCACUCGAAACUGCAUAGCUAGAGUCCUGGAGAGGAAGGUGGAAUGCUUGGUGUAGAGGUGAAAUUCGUAGAUAUCAAGCGGAACACCGGUGGCGAAGGCGGCCUUCUGGACAGUGACUGACGCUGAGACGCGAAAGCGUGGGGAGCAAACAGGAUUAGAUACCCUGGUAGUCCACGCCGUAAACGAUGAGUGCUAGGUGUCACGGGCUUUGACCCUCGUGGUGCCGAAGCUAACGCGUUAAGCA